rnacentral:tRNA from 4 species
CGGGUAGCUCAGUUGGUAGAGCAGGGGACUGAAAAUCCCCGUGCCGAGGGUUCAAGUCCCCCUCCGA